CAGUAGCCACGGUAAUACGUAGGGUGCGAGCGUUAAUCGGAAUUACUGGGCGUAAAGCGUGCGCAGGCGGCUUUGCAAGACAGAUGUGAAAUCCCCGGGCUCAACCUGGGAACUGCAUUUGUGACUGCAAGGCUAGAGUACGGUAGAGGGGGAUGGAAUUCCGCGUGUAGCAGUGAAAUGCGUAGAGAUGUGGAGGAACACCGAUGGCGAAGGCAGCCCCCUGGGCCAAUACUGACGCUCAUGCACGAAAGCGUGGGGAGCAAACAGGAUUAGAUACCCCCGUAGUCCCUGUCUCUUAUAC
rnacentral:rRNA from 1 species